UACUUUUGAACCACCUGGAGAUCCUGUUAAUGUCCAGAUUCUGGUUGAGUAGGUCUGGGCUGGAACCUGAGAUUCUUCAUUUGAAGCAAGUACCCAGCUGAAUGACAAAUUUAAAAAGCAUGUUAAGGAACACCUGCCAUGUUUCACCAAGGGUCCUUGAUGCCUCUUAUGAACAAAUUCAAUCCCAGAAAAGCCUCACAAGCAAAGAAACAGCCAAGGGAAUGCAGCAGCCAUCUGGAUGCCUGACCAAAGCAGAAGAUAUGCCCAAUUGUAGUACAGAGAGAAGCUAUUUUAAGGUAUUUGACCAAGUUCAAAGAAGUAAACUGAUCCACCAGAAGAUAAGCAAACAGGAAAAAGGAGCUAUCUGUGAUAUAACUUGAAGCAGAAGGCGUUUACAACUAACUGUAUUAUAUUUUAUUGAGCAGUUCUGGGCACGUGAUAUUUAAUUCUCACCACAUCAGUACCAAGUGAGCCUGAAGUUCUUAUUUAGAUGAAAGAAAAUAUGAAAUAUAUGAA